CCUACGGGUGGCAGCAGUGGGGAAUAUUGCACAAUGGGGGAAACCCUGAUGCAGCGACGCCGCGUGAGUGAAGACGUAUCUCGGUACGUAAAGCUCUAUCAGCAGGGAAGAAAAUGACGGUACCUGACUAAGAAGCCACGGCUAACUACGUGCCAGCAGCUGCGGUAAUACGUAGGAGGCAAGCGUUAUCCGGAUUUACUGGGUGUAAAGGGAGCGUAGACGGGAGGACAAGUCAGGAGUGAAAUCGCGGGGAUUAACCCCGGAACUGCUUUGGAAACUGUGAGGCUGGAGUACAGGUGGGGUAGGCGGAAUUCGUGGUGUAGCGGUGAAAUGCGUAGAUAUUAGGAAGAACACCGAUGGCGAAGGCAGCUUACUAAACUGUAACUGACGUUGAGGCUCGAAAGCGUGGGGAGCAAACAGGAUUAGAUACCCCUGUAGUC
rnacentral:rRNA from 1 species